AUUGAACGCUGGCGGCAUGCUUUACACAUGCAAGUCGAACGGUAACAGGGUGCUUGCACCGCUGACGAGUGGCGAACGGGUGAGUAAUGCGUCGGAACGUGCCGAGUAGUGGGGGAUAACGCAGCGAAAGUUGUGCUAAUACCGCAUACGUACUGAGGUAGAAAGUGGGGGACCUUCGGGCCUCACGCUAUUCGAGCGGCCGACGUCUGAUUAGCUAGUAGGUGAGGUAAAGGCUCACCUAGGCGACGAUCAGUAGCGGGUCUGAGAGGAUGAUCCGCCACACUGGGACUGAGACACGGCCCAGACUCCUACGGGAGGCAGCAGUGGGGAAUUUUGGACAAUGGGCGAAAGCCUGAUCCAGCCAUGCCGCGUGUCUGAAGAAGGCCUUCGGGUUGUAAAGGACUUUUGUCGGGGAGGAAAUCCCCAGCGUUAAUACCGCUGGGGGAUGACAGUACCUGAAGAAUAAGCACCGGCUAACUCUGUGCCAGCAGCCGCGGUAAGAC
rnacentral:rRNA from 1 species